GAGUUUGAUCCUGGCUCAGGACGAACGCUGGCGGUGCCUAAUACAUGCAAGUCGUACGCAUUGAAGAGAACUUGUUCUCUUGACGUGAGUGGCGAACGGGUGAGUAACACGUGGGUAACCUACCCUUCAGCGGGGGAUAACCAUCGGAAACGAUGACUAAUACCGCAUAGACGACAGAGUCACCUGACUCAAUCGGGAAAGACGGCUUCGGCUGUCACUGAAGGAUGGACCCGCGGUGCAUUAGCUAGUUGGUAAGGUAACGGCUUACCAAGGCCAUGAUGCAUAGCCGACCUGAGAGGGUGAUCGGCCACAUUGGGACUGAGACACGGCCCAAACUCCUACGGGAGGCAGCAGUAGGGAAUCUUCCGCAAUGGACGAAAGUCUGACGGAGCAACGCCGCGUGUAUGAAGAAGGUUUUCGGAUCGUAAAGUACUGUUGUUAGAGAAGAACACCCAGUAAAGUAACUGUUACUGGAUUGACGGUAUCUAACCAGAAAGUGACGGCUAACUACGUGCCAGCAGCCCGCGGUAAUACGUAGGUCACAAGCGUUGUCCGGAUUUAUUGGGCGUAAAGGGAGCGCAAGCGGCUGUUAAGUCUGAUGUGAAAGCCCCGGCUCAACCCGUGGAACUGCAUUUGGAAACUGGUAGACUUGAGUGCAAAAAAAAGAAAAGUGGAAAUUCCUUGUG
rnacentral:rRNA from 1 species